rnacentral:SRP_RNA from 3 species
AUUGGAGGGCGGCGGGUUAAUUUUCCGCCAACCCGGUCAGGUCCGGAAGGAAGCAGCCGUAACGGAAGCGAUUAAGGUCGCCCGCUCUCCGCCUCA